rnacentral:rRNA from 1 species
UGGGGAAUAUUGCACAAUGGGCGCAAGCCUGAUGCAGCCAUGCCGCGUGUGUGAAGAAGGCCUUCGGGUUGUAAAGCACUUUCAGCGAGGAGGAAGGUGGUGAGCUUAAUACGCUCAUCAAUUGACGUUACUCGCAGAAGAAGCACCGGCUAACUCCGUGCCAGCAGCCGCGGUAAUACGGAGGGUGCAAGCGUUAAUCGGAAUUACUGGGCGUAAAGCGCACGCAGGCGGUUUGUUAAGUCAGAUGUGAAAUCCCCGGGCUCAACCUGGGAACUGCAUUUGAAACUGGCAAGCUAGAGUCUCGUAGAGGGGGGUAGAAUUCCAGGUGUAGCGGUGAAAUGCGUAGAGAUCUGGAGGAAUACCGGUGGCGAAGGCGGCCCCCCUGGACGAAGACUGACGCUCAGGUGCGAAAGCGUGGGGCAGCAAACAGGAUUAGAUACCCUGGUAGUCCAGCGCUGUAAACGAUGUCGAUUUGGAGGUUGUGCCCUUGAGGCGUGGCUUCCGGAGCUAACGCGUUAAAUCGACCGCCUGGGGAGUACGGCCGCAAGGUUAAAACUU